GACAAAGUUAGUAAUAAUUUUUGUAAAUUGAUUAAUUAAAUAUUAAAAUUUUAUUUAUAGAUAUGCCUAUAGAUGUAUAGAACCUCCAUAGUCCAUACAAGCAAUUCAAAUUCGGAAUUAGACAAAAUGAUACAUUUAGGAGCAAUAUUUUCAUCAUGUGAUUCACUUAGUAGCAUUAUUAAAGAAUAUGAGCAGUCAUGCCUAGUUAAUUUAUAUAUUGCAAGGUCUACAUUAAACUCCCAUCCUGAAGAGCUCAUAAAUCUUUUUAAAUAUCAAAAGGUUUAUUAUUCUUAUAAAUGUAUAGAACCUCCAUACAAGCAAUUCAAAUUCACAAAAGAUUGUUCAUUUAUAUAUAGUUACAAUAACCAUUGAUUAACCUCCAUACAAGCAAUUCAAAUUCACAAAAGAUUGUUCAUUUAUAUAUAGUUACAAUAACCAUUAAUUAACCUCCAUACAAGCAAUUCAAAUUCACAAAAGAUUGUUCAUUUAUAUAUAGUUACAAUAACCAUUAAUUGUAAAAUAUUUAUAUGUGCCAAUAAAAUAUAAACAAUUUGUAAUAAAUUUUGAAUUUUAUCAUGUUAAUUUAAAAGAAUGUAACCAAUCUGGCCUAAUUUUUUUUAGCUCAAUCAUAGCCCAUUUUUUUCAUACUCUAAUUGUUUUGUCCCAAACUUAAAAUUUAAAUAUAAAAAGAACCAAAACAUUUUUUUGCUUAUUUUCUUAAUUUGUUUUAAUAUAAAAAGUUUUAAGCCAUACAACCAAUAAUGAUAUUUACAAUUUUUAUCAGAGACCAAUACCCAAAAAUAAAAUUUUUCUAAGUAUUUUACACAUUUAUAAACUGACAAGAUGGUUCUGCUAAUUUUUCUAUUAUUUUAAUUUACAUAACUUAAUU